GAACGCACAUUGCGCCUUCCGGUAUUCCGGAAGGCAUGCCUGUCCGAGCGUCAUUAAAAACCACUCAAGUAGUUUUGCUUGGUUAUGAAAGAAGAGUUUGCUUGCAAAUUCCCUUUCGAAAUUCAAUGGCGGAGAGUCUCAUGAUUCCAGUGUAGUAAUAACUUAUUCGCUUGGUCAUUGUAACAAUCCUGCCUUAAACCCCCAAUUCUAAUGUUUGACCUCGGAUCAGGUAGGGAUACCCGCUGAACUUAAG
rnacentral:misc_RNA from 1 species